rnacentral:rRNA from 1 species
AUUGAACGCUGGCGACAGGCUUAACACAUGCAAGUCGAGCGAGCGGCGGACGGGUGAGUAAUGUCUGGGAAACUGCCUGAUGGAGGGGGGUAACUACUGGAAACGGUAGCUAAUACCGCAUACCAUCAGAUGUGCCCGGAUGGGAUUAGCUAGUGGGUGGGGUAAUGGCUCACCUAGGCGACGAUCCCUAGCUGGUCUGAGAGGAUGACCAGGCACACUGGAACGGAGACACGGUCCAGACUCCGACGGGAGGCAGCAGUGGGGAAGAUUGCACAAUGGGCGCAAGCCUGAUGCAGCCAUGCCGCGUGUAUGAAGAAGGCCAUCGGGUUGUAAAGCACUUUCAGCGAGGAGGCGGUACUCGCAGAAGAAGCACCGGCUAACUCCGUGCCAGCAGCCGCGGUAAUAC